rnacentral:rRNA from 1 species
CCUACGGGAGGCAGCAGUGAGGAAUAUUGGUCAAUGGGCGCGAGCCGGAACCAGCCAAGUAGCGUGAAGGAUGACUGCCCUACGGGGUGUAAACUGCUGUUAUAAAGGAAUAAAGUGAGGCACGUGGGCCUUUUUGUAUGGACUUUAUGAAUAAGGAUCGGCUAACUCCGUGCCAGCAGCCGCGGUAAUACGGAGGAUCCGAGAGUUAUCCGGAGUUAUUGGGUUGAAAGGGAGCGUAGGCGGGUUGUUAAGUCAGUUGUGAAAGUUUGCGGCUCAACCGUACAAUUGCAGUUGAUACUGGCAUCCUUGAGUACAGUAGAGGUAGGCGGAAUUCGUGGUGUAGCGGU